AGCGGAGGGUACACCCGAUCCCAUUCCGAACUCGGUAGUUAAGCUCCGCAUCGCCGAACGUACUGUGGCGUCAGGCCAUGGGAGAAUAGGACGUUGUGCACA
rnacentral:rRNA from 1 species